rnacentral:rRNA from 1 species
AUUGAACGCUGGCGGCAGGCCUAACACAUGCAAGUCGAACGAGUGGCGGACGGGUGAGUAAUGUCUGGGAAACUGCCUGAUGGAGGGGGAUAAAUACUGGAAACGGUAGCUAAUACCGCAUACCAUCAGAUGGGCCCAGAUGGUAUUAGCUAGUUGGGGGGGUAACGGCUAAUCAAGGCGACGAUCCCUAGCUGGUCUGAGAGGAUGACCAGCCACACUGGAACGGAGACACGGUCCAGACUCCUACGUGAGGCAGCAGUUGGGAAUAUUGCACAAUGGACGCAAGCCUGAUGCAGCCAUGCCGCGUGUAUGAAGAAGGCCUUCGGGUUGUAAAGUACUGUCAGCGGGGAGGCGUUACCCACAGAAGAAGCACCGGCUAACUCCGUGCCAGCAGCCGCGGUAAUUC